AACGAACGCUGGCGGCAUGCCUAACACAUGCAAGUCGAACGAGACCUUCGGGUCUAGUUGCGUACGGGUGCGUAACGCGUGGGAACCUGCGCUUAGGUUCGGAAUAACUCUCCGAAAGGGGUCCUAAUACGGGGUAAUAUAUUCGGACAAAAGAUCUAUCGCCUUUGGAUGGGCCCGCGUUGGAUUAGCUAGUUGGUAGGGUAAAAGCCUACCAAGGCGACGAUCCAUAGCUGGUCUGAGAGGAUGAUCGGCCACACUGGGACUGAGACACGGCCCAGACUCCUACGGGAGGCAGCAGUGGGGAAUAUUGGACAAUGGGCGAAAGCCUGAUCCAGCGAUGCCGCGUGAGUGAUGAAGGCCUUAGGGUUGUAAAGCUCUUUUACCCGGGAUGAUAAUGACAGUACCGGGAUAAUAAGCUCCGGCUAACUCCGUG
rnacentral:rRNA from 1 species